UUACUAGAGAAAUACUGUAGAUUAGAGUUUGUGAUUUAGAAAUUAGAAAAACAAGAAUAUUUCUAGAUAGAUGAGUAUUUUUUCUGAGUUUUUCAUCAAUAUGUUGUAGUUUUAAAUAAUUUUCUUAAAAUUUGCUAUUUUUGGAAAGUUUUCAUUUAUUCAAGAAAUACUGUAGAUUUGAGUUUGUGAUUUAGAAAUUAGGAUGACAAGAAUAUUUGUGAAUAGUUGAGUAUUUUUUCAGAGUUUUUCAUCACUAGCUUGUAUUUUUAAAUAAUUUUCUUAAAAACUACUAUUUUUGGAAAGCUUUCAUUUUUUUGAGGAAUAUUGUAGAUUUGAGUUUGUUAUUUAGAAAUUCGGAUAACAACAAUAUUUGUGGAUAGUUGAGUAUUUUUUCUGAGUUUUUCAUGAAUAGGUUGUAUUUUUGAAUAAUUGUUUAAAAACUGCUAUUUUAGGAAAGUUUUCAUUUACUAGAUAAAUACUGUAGAUUAGAGUUUGUGAUUUAAAAAUUAGAAAAACAAGAAUAUUACUAGCUAGAUGAGUAUUUUUUCUGAGUUUUUCAUCAAUAUGUUGUAGUUUUAAAUAAUUUUCUUAAAAUUUGCUUUUUUUGGAAAGUUUUCAUUUAUUCAAGAAAUACUGUAGAUUUGAGUUUGUGAUUUAGAAAUUAGGAUGACAAGAAUAUUUAUGAACAGUUGAGUAUUUUUUCAGAGUUUUUCAUCACUAUCUUGUAUUUUUAAAUUAUUUUCUUAAAAACUGCUAUUUUUGGAAAGUUUUCAUUUUUUUGAGGAUUAUUGUAGAUUUGAGUUUGUUAUUUAGAAAUUCGGAUAACAAGAAUAUUUGUGGAUAGUUGAGUAUUUUUUCUGGGUUUUUCAUGAAUAGGUUGUAUUUUUGAUUAAUUGUUUAAAAACUGUUAUUUUAGGAAAGUUUUCAUUUACUAGGGAAAUACCGUAGAUUAGAGUUUGUGAUUUAUAAAUUAGAAAAACAAGAAUAUUUCUAGAUAGAUGAGUAUUUUUCUCAGUUUUUCAUCAAUAUGUUAUAGUUUUAAAUAAUUUUCUUAAAAUUUGCUAUUUUUGGAAAGUUUUCAUUUAUUCAAGAAAUACUGUAGAUUUGAGUUUGUGAUUUAGAAAUUAGGAUGAAAAGAAUAUUUGUGAACAGUUGAGUAUUGUUUCAGAGUUUUUCAUCACUAGCUUGUAUUUUUAAAUAAUUUUCUUAAAAACUGCUAUUUUUGAAAAGUUUUCAUUUUUUUGAGAUAUAUUGUAGAUUUGCGUUUGUUAUUUAGAAACUCGGAUAACAAGAAUAUUUGUGGAUAGUUGAGUAUUUUUUCUGAGUUUUUCAUGAAUAGAUUGUAUUUUUGAAUAAUUGUUUAAAAACUGCUAUUUUAGGAAAUAUUUUAUUUACUAGAGAAAUACUGUAAAUUAGAGUUUGCGAUUUAGAAAUUAGAAAAACAAGAAUAUUUCUAGAUAGAUGAGUAUUUUUUCUGAGUUUUUCAUCAAUAAGUUGUAGUUUUAAAUAAUUUUGUAAAAAUUUGCUAUUUUUGGAAAGUUUUCAUUUAUUCAAGAUAUACUGUAGAUUUGUGUUUGUGAUUUAGAAAUUAGGAUGACAAGAAUAUUUGUGAAUAGUUGAAUAUUUUUUCAGAGUUCUUCAUCACUAUCUUGUAUUUUUAAAUAAUUUUCUUAAAAACUGCUAUUUUUUUAAAGUUUUCAUUUUUUUGAGGAAUAUUGUAGGUUUGAGUUUGUUAUUUAUAAAUUCGGAUAACAAGAAUAUUUGUGGAUAGUUGAGUAUUUUUCUGAGUUUUUCAUGAAUAGGUUGUAUUUUUGAAUAAUUGUUUAAAAACUGCUAUUUUAGGAAAGUUUUCAUUUACUAGAUAAAUACUGUAGAUUAGAGUUUGUGAUUUAUAAUUAGAAAAACAAGAAUAUUACUAGAUAAAUGAGUAUUUUUUCUGAGUUUUUAUCAAUAUGUUGUAGUUUUAAAUAAUUUUCUUAAAUUUUGCUAUUUUUGGAAAAUUUUCAUUUAUUCAAGAAAUACUGUAGAUUUGAGUUUGUGAUUUAGAAAUUAGGAUGACAAAAAUAUUUGCGAAUAGUUAAGUAUUUUUUCCGAGUUUUUCAUCACUAGCUUGUAUUUUUAAAUAAUUUUCUUAAAAACUGCUAUUUUUGGAAAGUUUUCGUUUUUUUGAGGAAUAUUGUAGAUUUGGGUUUGUUAUUUUGAAAUUCGGAUAAAAAGAAUAUUUGUGGAUAGUUGAGUAUUUUUUCAGAGUUUUUCAUGUAUAGGUUGUAUUUUUGAUUAAUUGUUUAAAAACUGCUAUUUUAGGAAAGUUUUCAUUUACUAGAGAAAUAGUGUAGAUUAGAGUUUGUGAUUUAGAAAUUAGAAAAAAAAAGAAUAUUUCUAGAUAGAUGAGUAUUUUUCUGAGUUUUUCAUCAAUAUUUUGUAGUUUUAAAUAAUUUU
rnacentral:lncRNA from 1 species